AGCUUUAACACAUGAAGCAUCGGCUUCACUCUGCAGAACCUGAAGUUGUCGCCUGGUGACGACGUCCUCUAACACGUGUAAAUUCAGGACCUCGAGUACAUCUGGAAACCUGCACCGACGUAGUGACAGUUCAGAGGGGAUCAGCCAACGGUCAUUUCAAAGCAGCUCUUGUUACCAAAACAAACUGCACAUGAAGUGUGAUGUCAAUUCUCAUAUGCACUGACUGACAGAAUGAUGUCUUGCAGCCAUCCAUGACUGCUUUGGCAACCAUGCUUUGGAAGUUGCAGAGGCAACGGCGGGCUCCACUCUGGACGGAGGGAACGUAGCGCUGGCCAUCUUCAUCCUCGUCCUCCUGCUGUCCGUGCUGCUCGGGGGGGCGUACGUCUACGUCACACGGUGCCGGUAUCACUCCAACCUACGGCUCCCUCUGAUCUACCCUCAUCCGUACCGACAGAUCACGGUGGAGACGGAGUUUGACAACCCGCUCUAUGAGACCGGAGGGGACACUCGAGAAUAUGAAGUAUCGAUAUGAGAGAGGACGUUACCCCCCCGUCCUAACUCUUCAUCCCUCCUCCCUCCUUCUCCGCCCCCUUUGGAGGAGACGAUGUAAAUACAAAUAGAUGAUGUCCGGUCACUUCUGCCACGAGAC